UGGAGUGGUGUCCAUAGCCAACAGUGAGU
rnacentral:piRNA from 1 species